UCCCAGCAUAGACCUCCCAGCUGGCGAAUAACAUAGAUGGCUCCACCUAGACACAUGAGGUUAGUUAUAUCGACGCUCUAAUGAAGUUUGACUUAGAUUUUAUGAAACGGCAUUGUAUUUUUUCACUUUUUUCUGCCUAUUUACUCCCUAUUCAGAGUUACUAAUUUGUUUAUGAAUGUAUAAUACCUCAAUCAAGCACAAGGGGGGUGAGAGACAGACACUUCAAGAAGUUUCUGUUUCCUGUUGUGUUUAUUUCUGUUCGUUUGACGUUAAUUAUUUUUUUUGUCCAUAGGGUUCAACCUGAUUAUGAAACGCGCAUAAUUCAUGGUGAAUCAUUGUAGAUGAUUUUUGUGGUCAAGAUCAUUAUAAGCAUAUGACUUAUUCCAUCCAGAUCGGACCAGAUCCCUGACCGCGUCUAGAACAACCGUGAGCCUGACAUCCAUCAGAAAAGCCAAGCUGACGACACACGACGUUGGCCUCGUUGAUUGUCCAGUGAUCAUCACACACUUAUACACUCAAUGUUCACCUCAAUGUCGGUGGCUAGCAAUGGAUAUUUACCUUGCCACUUCGCCACCACCAGCCAUUUCCACUCAGAUACGCUGAGAGGGUACGUCUAAAAGCAAUCAACACCAAAGGCGAAAUGUUCC